GACGAACGCUGGCGGCGUGCUUAACACAUGCAAGUCGAACGAGGCCCUCCUUCGGGGGGUGUCCUAGUGGCGAACGGGUGAGUAACACGUGGGCAACCUGCCCCCGGCUCCGGGAUAACCCCAAGAAAUUGGGGCUAAUACCGGAUAUUCACCGCUGACCGCAUGGUCUGGUGGUGGAAAGAUUUAUCGGCUGGGGAUGGGCCCGCGGCCUAUCAGCUUGUUGGUGGGGUAGUGGCCUACCAAGGCGACGACGGGUAGCCGGCCUGAGAGGGUGACCGGCCACACUGGGGCUGAGACACGGCCCAGACUCCUACGGGAGGCAGCAGUGGGGAAUAUUGCGCAAUGGGCGAAAGCCUGGCGCAGCGACGCCGCGUGGGGGAUGACGGCCUUCGGGUUGUAAACCUCUUUCAGCAGCGACGAAGCGCAAGUGACGGUACCUGCAGAAGAAGCACCGGCCAACUACGUGCCAGCAGCCGCAGUAACAC
rnacentral:rRNA from 1 species